ACAGAGGUCCCAAGCGUUGUUCGGAUUUACUGGGCGUAAAGGGUGCGUAGGCGGUUGUGUAAGUUCGGUGUGAAAUCUCCAGGCUUAACUUGGAAAAGGCAUUGAAUACUAUACAGCUUGAGGUUCGGAGGGGAGACUGGAAUUCUUGGUGUAGCAGUGUAAUGCGUAGAUAUCAAGAGGAACACCAGUGGCGAAGGCGAGUCUCUGGACGAAAUCUGACGCUGAGGCACGAAAGCUAGGGGAGCAAACAG
rnacentral:rRNA from 1 species